rnacentral:tRNA from 1 species
AAGCCAAUAGUGUAGUGGUAGCAUCACGAUCUCCGAAGUCGUUGGCAGAGGUUCGAACCCUCUUUGGCUUG